GGCCGGUUGGCCCAAUGGUAAGGCGUCUGACUACGAUUGGUUGCUCUCCAAGGAGAUCAGCUGGUAAUCAGGAGAUUCUGGGUUCGAGCCCCAGGCUGGUCA
rnacentral:tRNA from 1 species